UAAGUUCAGUUUAUGAGCUACCUAUCCGUGCUUGGUUUAAGAACUCCGACAUUAUCCGUAAGUAGAUCAGCCUUUCCGGUUCUACUAUUUAAUAUUUCAUGUUUUCUUAUCUAUUUAUUAUCCUAUCAAUUUGAGUCCUGAAUGCAUGUUUCUACGUAAUUUAAUUCAUAUGAUUAACUUUGCCCUUGCCUGUUCUCUAUUGUAUGCAAAGAUAUAAAUUCGGAAUUCUGCUUGUCAGUCAAAUAAAAUUAGGAUAUGGCUUGUUAUCUAUUGAGAUAUUUAGAUCCAGAAUGUGUUACCGCUGAAAUUUGCUUUUCUUCACCCCAUCAAAUGUGAAUUUCAUUGGCUUAUUGGUUUCUACUAAAGCAAAUUUUGAUUAUUUAUAAUGAAAUUUCUUCCACCCAUCAAAUGUGCGAAUUCAUUGGCCUAUUUGUUUCUGAUAAAAAACAAACUUUGGUUAUUUGUAAUGAAAUUUCUUAGAUCAGUCUCCUUCAAUUCCUUGGCACAUUUCUGAAUCUUUAGUCACAUAAUUAUUUUGAAAGUAUUGUAUGUAUACCUUUCAAAAUUUUUACUAAGAUUUAGGCUUCUGAAAUGUCUCUCAUUCAGUCGCCGUUGCAUGCUUGACUUGAGCCUUUCCGAGGCCCCACGAAAGGAGACCUCCUGGCCUUUGUUCGGACGAACAAAAAAAGCGAGAAAAGCAGAAAGAAAGCUACUCACUGCUUCAAUUUCCGUGUGUCUGCGGCUUUUCCUCGAACACCUAGGAACCCAGGGAGAUGGGUGAUCAUUGGAGCACAC
rnacentral:lncRNA from 1 species